ACGCUGGCGGCGUGCUUAAUACAUGCAAGUCAACUGAACUUAAGAUAGCAAUAUUUUAAGGGAGGUGGCGCACGGGUGAGUAACACGUAGGUAAUCUGCCUUUAGGUCUGACACAACCCCGAGAAAUCGGGGCUAAUAUCAGAUGAUGCAGCGGCUCGACAUCGAGACAGUUGUUAAACCUUCGGGGCCUAAAGAUGAGCCUGCGCCUGAUUAGCUGGUUGGCGGGGUAACGGCCCACCAAGGCAACGAUCAGUAGCUGGUCUGAGAGGAUGAUCAGCCACACUGGAACUGAGACACGGUCCAGACUCCUACGGGAGGCAGCAGUAAGGAAUAUUGCUCAAUGGCCGAAAGGCUGAAGCAGCAACGCCGCGUGGAGGAUGAAAUACUUUGUAUGUAAACUCCUGUGAGAAGGGAAAAUACGCAGAUUUUCUGCGUUGAUUGUACCUUCAGAGGAAGCCCCGGCUAACUACGUG
rnacentral:rRNA from 1 species